GACGAACGCUGGCGGCGUGCUUAACACAUGCAAGUCGAACGGAAAGGCCCUGCUUUUGUGGGGUGCUCGAGUGGCGAACGGGUGAGUAACACGUGAGUAACCUGCCCUUAACUUUGGGAUAACUUCAGGAAACUGCGGCUAAUACCGGAUAGGAGCUCCUGCUGCAUGGUGGGGGUUGGAAAGUUUCGGCGGUUGGGGAUGGACUCGCGGCUUAUCAGCUGGUUGGUGGGGGAGUGGCUUACCCAGGCUUUGACGGGUAGCCGGCCUGAGAGGGUGAACGGCCACAUUGGGACUGAGGGACGGACCAGACUCCUACGGGAGGCAGCAGGGGGGAAUAUUGCACAAUGGGCGGAAGCCUGAUGCAGAAACGCCGCGUGCGGGAUGACGGCCUUCGGGUUGUAAACCGCUUUCGCCUGUGACGAAGCGUGAGUGACGGUAAUGGGUAAAGAAGCACCGGCUAACUACGUG
rnacentral:rRNA from 1 species